UACAGCUUGGUGUUGGUGCAUUUUAUGUUUUGGUCAUAAGGGGGGUUUGUUGCUAGCUGUAG
rnacentral:tRNA from 1 species